rnacentral:rRNA from 1 species
GGACAGUGUCUGGUGGGUAGUUUGACUGGGGCGGUCUCCUCCUAAAGCGUAACGGAGGAGCACGAAGGUUGGCUAAUCCUGGUCGGACAUCAGGAGGUUAGUGCAAUGGCAUAAGCCAGCUUGACUGCGAGCGUGACGGCGCGAGCAGGUGCGAAAGCAGGUCAUAGUGAUCCGGUGGUUCUGAAUGGAAGGGCCAUCGCUCAACGGAUAAAAGGUACUCCGGGGAUAACAGGCUGAUACCGCCCAAGAGUUCAUAUCGACGGCGGUGUUUGGCACCUCGAUGUCGGCUCAUCACAUCCUGGGGCUGAAGUAGGUCCCAAGGGUAUGGCUGUUCGCCAUUUAAAGUGGUACGCGAGCUGGGUUUAGAACGUCGUGAGACAGUUCGGUCCCUAUCUGCCGUGGGCGCUGGAGAACUGAGGGGGGCUGCUCCUAGUACGAGAGGACCGGAGUGGACGCAUCACUGGUGUUCGGGUUGUCAUGCCAAUGGCACUGCCCGGUAGCUAAAUGCGGAAGAGAUAAGUGCUGAAAGCAUCUAAGCACGAAACUUGCCCCGAGAUGAGUUCUCCCUGAGACUUUAGUCUCCUGAAGGAACGUUGAAGACGACGACGUUGAUAGGCCGGGUGUGUAAGCGCAGCGAUGCGUUGAGCUAACCGGUACUAAUG